AGUUUCAAGUGCUAAGGACAGACCUAAGCUCAACUAGGAGUGAGUUGCAAGCUGCAGAUAGUGAUUUUCAGAAAUCUUUGUCAGAUGUCAACACAACCCUGAAAACAAGGAUCGACAAUCUUGACUCUGACACAAACCAGUUGUCAUCAGUUCUAGGAGCAACACGAAGCAACCUCGAUAAGCUCAACGGCACAUUGGUUACUACUACACUAGAGGUACAAGAUGAUCUCUUAACACUUAAGAGAAGUUUAAAUUCCACCGAUGAAAACCUGAAAUCUUCAGUUGGCAACUUACAAAACGUCAUUGGCAUGUUAAACACAACUUUUUCAGACCAGGUACAAGAGUUAGGGCAGGAGGAUAAUAGACUUCAAAGUGACCUGAAAGAAGUCAACACUACUGCUCUUCAGCAGGUGAGGUACCGAUAACCGAGUGACUGAUCUAUUAAAUAUAGACUAGUAUUGUUUGAAUUUACGACCAGAAGGCACGCGCGCGAAAAUUACACUCCUAGGAUGAAAUGUAGGUUCCAUGCUAGCCAAUAGGAUUGCAAGUUUGCCAACAGGUACUGGGUUUUGUUUUUCCAGUAGCAAUUUUCUAAAAGUAGUUUGAUACAAAACAAUAUUAAAUUUAAAUAGAGUACUGCUUUCCAGGAAUAAUCAUAGAGGGGCCAAGCAGUCAAGCAAUGUAAGGUAUACAAAGGGGUGUAAGAUGAAAUAUUGAUAUGUGAAGACUAAGAUGUAAUAGUAUGUAAUAGUUUACAAUUAAUCACUGGUCUUGAGUGGAAAAGUUAUUUUUCUUUUCCCGAGAAUCUCGAUGUUUCGUGAGACGGAGGCGAAGGAAACAUCGAGUUUCGAGGUAAAGCAAAACUGAUUGUUUCCCUAAGGACCAGCGAGUAAGUGAUUUGUUAUAUAGUUGGAGUUUAGGGCAAAGUUGUAUGGCAAGCAGUUAGUGGGAGAGCAGGCGACAAUUACUUUAUUGCUGUCCAUUUUUGUCCGGUGACCAUAAAUCAAUCAGUGAGAGCGGGCGUUAGAUUCGACUAAACUCCAGCUACAAUCUUGGACAGAAGUCUUGGGACACUUAUGCAAUUUA
rnacentral:misc_RNA from 1 species